rnacentral:rRNA from 1 species
UACAGAGGGUGCGAGCGUUAAUCGGAAUUACUGGGCGUAAAGCGUGCGUAGCCGGUUAUGUAAGUCAGGUGUGAAAGCCCCGGGCUCAACCUGGGAAUUGCAUUUGAGACUGCAUAGCUAGGGUGCGGAAGAGGGAAGCGGAAUUUCCGGUGUAGCGGUGAAGUGCGUAGAUAUCGGAAGGAACAUCAGUGGCGAAAGCGGCUUCCUGGUCCAGCACCGACGUUCAGGCACGAAAGCGUGGGGAGCAAACAGG